rnacentral:rRNA from 1 species
AGCGGAGGAAAAGAAACCAACAGGGAUUGCCUCAGUAACGGCGAGUGAAGCGGCAACAGCUCAAAUUUUAAAGCUGGCGUCUUCGGCGUCCGCAUUGUAAUUUGGAGAGGCAUCUUCGGUUUGGGCGCCAGCCUAUGUUCCUUGGAACAGGACGUCACAGAGGGUGAGAAUCCCGUGCUUGGCCGGCUGUCCCAUUCCAUGUGAAGUGUCUUCGACGAGUCGAGUUGUUUGGGAAUGCAGCUCAAAAUGGGUGGUAAAUUUCAUCUAAAGCUAAAUAUUGGUGGGAGACCGAUAGCGCACAAGUAGAGUGAUCGAAAGAUGAAAAGCACUUUGAAAAUAGAGUUAAAAAGUACGUGAAAUUGUUGAAAGGGAAGCGCUUGAGACCAGACUCGACCGGGGAUGAUCAGCUGUCCUUCUGGGCAGUGCACUUGUCUCUGGUCGGGCCAGCAUCGGUUGAGACGGCGGGACAAAGGCUUCGGGAACGUGGCUCCUCUCGGGGAGUGUUAUAGCCCGUUGCGUAAUGCCGCCAGCCUCGACCGAGGACCGCGCUUCGGCUAGGAUGCUUGGCGUAAUGGUCUUCAGCGACCCGUCU